rnacentral:rRNA from 1 species
AUUGAACGCUGGCGGCAGGCCUAACACAUGCAAGUCGAACGGUAACAGGAAACAGCUUGCUGUUUCGCUGACGAGUGGCGGACGGGUGAGUAAUGUCUGGGAAACUGCCUGAUGGAGGGGGAUAACUACUGGAAACGGUAGCUAAUACCGCAUAACGUCGCAAGACCAAAGCGGGGGACCUUCGGGCCUCUUGCCAUCGGAUGUGCCCAGAUGGGAUUAGCUAGUAGGUGGGGUAACGGCUCACCUAGGCGACGAUCCCUAGCUGGUCUGAGAGGAUGACCAGCCACACUGGAACUGAGACACGGUCCAGACUCCUACGGGAGGCAGCAGUGGGGAAUAUUGCACAAUGGGCGCAAGCCUGAUGCAGCCAUGCCGCGUGUAUGAAGAAGGCCUUCGGGUUGUAAAGUACUUUCAGCGGGGAUGAAGGGAGUAAAGUUAAUACCUUUGCUCAUUGACGUUACCCGCAGAAGAAGCACCGGCUAACUCCGUG